GCGACGCCUUAAAAACCAUAUUCAAUAAUUUGUUUGUCUUAAUGCGUCCUUGUCUGUUGACAGUUCAACUAUUUUAUGAUGAUUUGGCAGUGUAGCAUCUUCAUGUGUGUCCAGCUGAAAGGGGUCAGGUGUUUGAAGGGUAGUAGCUAGACCUCUUUUCAGUAAUGGGUACUAAUUUUUAUUUGAAUACCACUGUUCUGUGAAUGCUGAUGCUGCCCUGUCCUCUGUCUGCCACAUAACCUUAGGUGAAUAUCCGGAUGCCAUGUCGAAGCUUACGGAGACGGACCUCAAGUUUCUUUUUCCACAUCUAACUGCUGACAGAUAUGUACAGACAUUAGUAGAGAUGGGAGUUCUUCUAUUAGGACAUGAUAGGAGUAUGCUUUGCUUCUUUGCAGCAUACUAUGUGGUGUAUUAGUGAUAUACAUGAUGGACUUCUUGUUUCACGAAUUGUGAGGCCUGCCAUCGGCGUCUGAGCUCGCCAAUAGCUGUUGUCAACCUAUACUAAGAUUUCAAAUUAAAAAAAUUUCCUCGCUGGUCCCGUGUGCCAAAACACUGGUAAGGAAGCGGCCCAAGUCGGCCUGAGGACUGUGUAUGGCCCAGGUAGGUAGUCUCACGGGUAACGCCUCCCAGUGUCAGGACGGGACCGGGGUUCGGGGGUUUUCUCGGCCUGUGUGAGAAGGUCUUCUUCUUAAUUUAAUGCCGCAGGGGCAGCUUGCCCCCCGCAGGUUGAGUUUUUUUUUCAUGGUGUUGAUGCAUUAAUGAUAGAUCCUGCAUCCAAACUGUAUCUCUAACCUGUUCAAGCAAUCUCUUGACCCAUUAAUGACUACCGCCAGGGACAGCCUCGUGAGAUACAGAUACAGCCUCUCCAGUGGAUGCUCUGCGAGCGGCGAGCCUAUUUCCCAUUCUAAUAUUCCUCUUGUGUGCAGAUCAAAGAUUCUUGUAGAGAUGGAUUGGCUAGGAUUAUCAUUCACUGAAGGCAAAUCUCUCAAUUAUUGGUUGGGAUUUAUUUUCCAAUAUCUGCUGUUUUACUCCCUUAUGUGGUCGCAUGGUUUCACUGCUGGGUCCACUGGAUCGACCCUGGUGUCGAUGCCAAUUACCAAUUAACGAGCUGUGGCAACGAGCAUACUUGCAACAACAUGCCAUGAGGACCCCAAUCUUUGCUGGCUUCAACCUGAACAGGCCCUGCAGAGCACCUUCGGUCCAGGUGCUCAACGCCAGGAGCCUAGGACCACAUCUUCUUGUGAAACAUCAGUUUUUGCUGCAUUUCAGAUGUCGUAUCAGCUAUAGUUGAAGGCCAUAGGAAGCAGGUUGAUUGCCUGACGACGACGCAGAUCAGUAGAAUGAGGACUAAGCUUGAUGUUCGUAGCUGGUCUGGAUUUGUCUAUGAGCAAUGAAAUGGUCUUGGCAGGGACAGGGAGGUCUAUCUGUAUCUCUCUUUUAUUCUAACUAGUACUGAGGCUAGCGUAAAACUGUUGUAUUCAAAUUGGAAAUGUACUUACGAAUGAGAUGAACCAUUUGCGGCUAAGUUAUUGUAUUUACAUUUCCAAUUUCUAGUUUCUGAGACCAUGCUAAUGUUGGUGUAAAACAUUUGUAUUCAAACUGGAAAAGCUAGUUAUUGUA